UACAGAGGUCCCAAGCGUUGUUCGGAUUCAUUGGGCGUAAAGGGUGCGUAGGCGGCGCGGUAAGUCGGGUGUGAAAUCUCGGGGCUUAACUCCGAAACUGCAUUCGAUACUGCCGUGCUUGAGGACUGGAGAGGAGACUGGAAUUUACGGUGUAGCGGUGAAAUGCGUAGAUAUCGUAAGGAAGACCAGUGGCGAAGGCGGAUCUCUGGACAGCUCCUGACGCUGAGGCGCGAAGGCUAGGGGAGCAAACGGG
rnacentral:rRNA from 1 species